rnacentral:rRNA from 1 species
AUUGAACGCUGGCGGCAGGCCUAACACAUGCAAGUCGAACGAGUGGCGGACGGGUGAGUAAUGUCUGGGACACUGCCUGAUGGAGGGGGAUAACUACUGGAACCGGUAGCUAAUACCGCAUACCAUCAGAUGUGCCCAGAUGGGAUUAGCUGGUUGGUGGGGUAACGGCUCACCAAGGCGACGAUCCCUAGCUGGUCUGAGAGGAUGAACGCCCACACUGGGAAGGAGCCACGGUCCAGACUCCUAAGGUAGGCAGCAGUGGGGAAUAUUGCACAAUGGGCGCAAGCCUGAUGCAGCCAUGGCGCGUGUAUGAAGAAGGCCCUCGGGUUGUAAAGUACGUUCAGCGGGGAGGCGUUACCCGCAGAAGAAGCACCGGCUAACUCCGUGCCAGCCGCCGCGGUAAUAC